rnacentral:rRNA from 1 species
UACGAAGCGGGCUAGCGUUGCUCGGAAUCACUGGGCUUAAAGCGCACGUAGGCGGCUCUCUAAGUCAGGGGUGAAAUCCUGGAGCUCAACUCCAGAACUGCCUUUGAUACUGGAGAGCUCGAGUCCGGAAGAGGUGAGUGGAACUCCGAGUGUAGAGGUGAAAUUCGUAGAUAUUCGGAAGAACACCAGUGGCGAAGGCGGCUCACUGGUCCGGUACUGACGCUGAUGUGCGAAAGCGUGGGGAGCAAACAGG